rnacentral:rRNA from 1 species
UACGGAGGAUGCGAGCGUUAUCCGGAUUUAUUGGGUUUAAAGGGUGCGUUGGCGGGCUUUUAAGUCAGCGGUAAAAAUUCGGGGCUCAACCCCGUCCGGCCGUUGAAACUGGGGGCCUUGAGUGGGCGAGAAGAAGGCGGAAUGCGUGGUGUAGCGGUGAAAUGCAUAGAUAUCACGCAGAACCCCGAUUGCGAAGGCAGCCUUCCGGCGCCCUACUGACGCUGAGGCACGAAAGUGCGGGGAUCGAACAGG